ensembl:lncRNA novel transcript
AGCUUCUACUCAAGAUUUGAAGGGCAGCUGUCCUCAGGAGACCCCUGGCACUUCCCUCCAUGGUGGGAUGUGAUGCCUGAUUCCAGUGAGUUCAUAGAGCUGAACAAAAGGAGGCAGCAGAUGGCUGAAAUUCUGAUCCGAUGUGGCUGGUUAAUGCAUGAUCUGAAAACCCCUGCACUGGUGAUUUUGGGACAGAUCUAGAAUAUACCAAUAAAUAUAUUAACAUACCAAGUAGUCUAGGAGCAGCCACUGGGCGAACACCAAACCUUGCAUCCCUGCUGCUGUCUCUGAGCUCAGCAGACACGUCUUUGCAGAAGAGUUCUAUAAUGGUGGUACAAUGGUGCCCCCUCGUGACAGAAGCUUGAACUACAGCUUGAACAUCGAGAUGAAAAUAUACUGUCUACGUUGUUCAACACAAUAGCUAAUGGCAACUGUGGCAGUUGAACACCCGAAACGUGAUGAAUGUGACUGAGGAACUGAACUUUUAGUUUCAUUGUGACAUGAUGAAUGAAUUUAUUGAGCCCCAGGAAGAAGGAAAAUUAAAGAAGAGCAAAGAAUAAUAGCUGGACAGAAGAUGGGGGUCAUUGAACCUAUAUCCUAGUUGCCAGACCAGUAAACUGACCAUGGGACCUGGGGGAGGCAGCAGAUGACCGAAAACCUGGAGUGAUGUGGCUGAAUACCGCAUGAUCUGAAGACUGCACUGGUGGCUGCGGUAUGGGUCCAAAUUUUUCCUUAACAAAAACAAAAAAAGAGCCCAAAACCAUACUGACUAGUCCAGGAAUAGCCAUUAGGCAAACAACUUUUUGCUACCCUGGUGUUACCGAUUUCUGAACUCAACAGGUGAAUUCAAAGAUAUGCCUGUCUUUCCAGCAUGGGGAGCUGGAUUUGGGUCAGCUCAGGCGCAUGAUGUUGAACAGCUCUUAUGAGCUUCUGAUAGUGCCCAGGAAGUACAGAAACAACUGUCUACAAAUCUUUGAACUCAAGGCAUAUCACAGGGACAUUUGCUUUCUUCAACUAGAUAUCUGUUUUCUCAUAAAGAGAAACAAUGAGAAAUGGUUUUUCACAAUGCCUCGUUAGCCCUGAGGCUCAGCCAUCCCCUAGUGCUGUGUCCCAACAUUUAAAGGCCGUUGAAG